rnacentral:rRNA from 1 species
CCUACGGGAGGCAGCAGUGGGGGAUAUUGCACAAUGGGGGGAACCCUGAUGCAGCGACGCCGCGUGGGUGAAGGAGCGUUUCGGCUCGUAAAGCCCUAUCGGCAGGGAAGAAGGAGGACGGUACCUGACUAAGAAGCCCCGGUUAACUACGUGCCAGCAGCCGCGGGAAUACGGAGGGGGCAAGCGUUAUCAGGCUUUACUGGGGGGAAAGGGGGCGCAGACGGCAGCGCAAGCCAGGAGUGAAAGCCCGGGGCCCAACCCCGGGACUGCUCUUGGAACUGCGCGGCUGGAGUGCAGGAGGGGCAGGCGGAAUUCCUGGUGUAGCGGUGAAAUGCGUAGAUAUCAGGAGGAACACCGGUGGCGAAGGCGGCCUGCUGGACUGCGACUGACGUUGAGGCCCGAAAGCGUGGGGAGCAAACAGGAUUAGAUACCCGUGUAGUC